AUGAGUUCACCUUUGUGUGAGGUGGGAACCCAGGCUCUUCUGUGUCUAGAAAGGGAGAGUCCAUUAAACAGUAAAAAGAAGGAGGAGGAGGAGGCAGAAGGAGGGGAGGAGGAGAAGAGGAAGAGAAGGCGUUCAGAAAAGUCCUCAUCCCACCCUCAUCUCUCAAGUAGGCACAGGUGGAAACAGAGUGUGUCCUGUGCCCGGGGAUCCCAUAUGCCCACAGAACAUUUCCAAAGUCUCUUCUCUCGAGAACCAGCCAUUUUGCAGCAGAGCACUAGGUAUCUCACUGGCCCAUAUGGGGGUGAAUUUACAGGUUCAAAGCACAGAAAGGUGGCUACGGUGGCUGGAAUUUGGUGAGCAAGCAAGAGGCACCUGACAAGCUUCCUGCUGGAUCAAGAGCUGUGGGAGAAGGGGAAAAAAAAAAUCUGCGCAUAUUCUUUAGAUUCUGUUGAAGGCAGCGUGGAAAGUGCCUGGAGGGAAGUCAGUACUACAGCAAGUAAGACCUUGUUUCCUCCAGCUGUUUGUGGUAUAGGCAGUGGGGGUGGGAG
rnacentral:lncRNA from 1 species